GUGCUUGCUUCAGCAGCACAUAUACUAAAAUUGGAAGGAUACAGAGAAGAUUAGCAUGGCCCCUGCACAAGGAUGACACACAAAUUCGUGAAGCGUUCCAUAUUUAA
rnacentral:snRNA from 1 species